GACGUGGAGUAAUAUGAACACGCCUAUGUGACUCUGAAUGUGUUCGAUGUUUAAAUGACUCUAAACAUGCACUAUUUUAGAAAUAUUGAGCAGACGAAAAUAAUGUAGUUUAGAAAUGCUUUCAUUGUUAAGUGCAUGUUUACUUCCAGAAAUGUUUCUAUUAUGAUAUUGCUUUUAUCUCCACUUUAAUGAUUCUUUGUAAUUCUUUUCUGGUGCCUGUCCUUUUCGUAAUUUAUGAACAUUUUGUGCAUCUUGGAAGAGUGUUCAUUUGUCGUUUCAUCAAUGCCGAGAGUGUAAUUUCAAAAUUUAUUCCAUAAAAUUAAUGUGAUUUCUUAAAGCAUUUAUCUACGUGCCGUUAGAAUAAGAAAGAAUUAAAGAUCUUUCAUGCUUUCAAUAAAUGGCUUCUGAAAAUUGUAAUGUUUUCUGCAGUUGCUCUUCUCCUCGUAUUAUAACGCGUGGGUUGGCAACACUUUUCAUUUUGAAGAAAAUUGAAUUUUCAGUUUCCUUUUCAGGUGAAAAUAGUAAAACCUCUUACAUAUACUAGUAAAGAGUGCAAAUGCAAAAAUCAAGACUUCAAAUUGCAUUUAAAUUUGCAAUGCAUUCACAUGUCAUAAAACUUACAGACAUGGUGUUUAUUCACCUGUCACCAUUUCCUCUGAAUUUUAAAGAAUGAGUGCAUUUCAUUAUAUAUGCAAGUUUUGUCAUUUCUUUAAUUAUUGUGAUAUCAGACAUGACAGAUAUUAAUGCUUUUUUCAUUUUAUCAUGAGGACGGUGAAAAUAGCUUUUUUUAAAUCCCCGAUUUGUCAUUUAAAUUCAAGAAAUUCACAGAACAAAGUAAAGCCUUUCUAAGAUGAUCAUUAACAUUUCCAAAUGGCUUGUUUUUUCCUAGAGACUUGUUUUAAAAGAAAUGAUAUUCAAUAUCAGUGUUUUAUGUAUGUCUUCUGAAGGACUGUCAUUUUCAGAGGUGGUCAUCUUAAAGAGAUUAUCACACAAGAAAGUUGAUUAAUAUGAAUGCGAUACUUUUCAAUUUACCUAUUCUACUUUUUUUCUCUGUGGUAGAAAUUUUAUAAUAAUUGAUGCUGAUUAGCUCGGAAUACAUAAAUAAGACUAUAAUAAAAAUAUUACCAAUGUAAUGCUUUCUUUCUAUAAAAAUAAGACAGCUUUGGUUAUUAAUAAUUGCAUCCUGGAGUUUAUAAUCCUAUCGAAAAGUGAAUCAGCGUAUUCAGAUAUUGCAGUUGAAAUUCAUUAAGUCUUCAGAAGGCACUGAACAUCAUUUGAGAAUUAACAGAAAAUAUUAAUUCAUUACAGUGCUCAACAUUGCAAAAGUAAAUGGUAAUAUUUUCUUCAAAAUGAUCAGCGAAAUGCAUGUUUUUACACUCUGUUUUCUGCAUGGUAUUCAUAGCUUAAGACACAUCAUAGGGCUGAAAGAGGCCAGUUGGUCAAACAGGUGAAUAGGCCAGCAUAUCAGUCGAAGCAAUAUCGUUGCUGUUUGAACCAAAGGCUCAGCAAAGCAAUAGUCACGCUUCCAGUCAGCGAUGCGUAGUCACUCGGUAAGCUCCCGGUAACCAAUGCAUGAAACGAUCGCACAAUUAGAAGAGCUGCCACAUCUGCACCAACAAAAGAUACACUAUCAUUGAUUCAGUGCCAUUUACCAACUCUCAGGGAUCCCGGGUUAUCCAGGGAUACAAUUUUCAGAAGACUAAAGGAUUUUGGGUUCAGAUCUUGAUGUCUAUUAAGAAGCUUGCUAUUGACACUCCACCGUGAGCAGUGUCACCUAGCAUGGUGCUGCUCUUGUUCAAGCUGCACUGUGUCCAGUUGGAGAAAUGUUAUCUUGAGCGAUGAAUCACACUUUUCUGUCAAAUCUGAUGACUGCUGCAUAUGUGUCUGGAGAAGCAGAGGUGAGAAGUCCAAUGUGCCAUUUGUUACUGACAUAUGAUAGACAGAACGCAGUAUGUGACAGUCUGGAUAGUAAUCAGCUGGGACAGCCAUUCAACAUUAGUUGUGCUCCAAGGUACUCUGACUGCUCGCAGGUACAAUGAUAUCUUGCAGCUGAUUGUACUCUGUGCUGCUAGCAGGUCAUCCAGGUCCAUUUUUCAGCAGGACAAUGCUCAACCAUAUACAGCACGACUUUCCCAAUAAUGUUUUCAAUCUGUUAAUGUGCUCGACUGGUCCGCCAGGCUUCAAGCCAUCAAAGGUGUUUGGGACAUGUUGGAUGGGAAUGUUCAGCUGUGUACAAAUAUGUCCCAACUCACUGACCAGUUGCUCCGAUUAUGGCACAAUCUAUCACAAAAGGGCAUUGGCAACUUAACAUAUGCCAAACCCAGCUGAAUAUGUGCUUGUAUAGCUGCCAUGGGUGCUUUACCACCUACUGAUUUUCACAUUCUUUGUAUUGCCGUGGAUUUUCAAAUUCUUUGUAUUACUAUGCUUAAAUAAAACUAUUUUUUUAACAUUA
rnacentral:lncRNA from 1 species